GAUCCUGGCUCAGGAUGAACGCUAGCGGCAGGCUUAACACAUGCAAGUCGAGGGGCGAGCAUAAUGGAUAGCAAUAUCUAUGGUGGCGACCGGCGCACGGGUGCGUAACGCGUAUGCAACCUACCUUUAACAGGGGGAUAACACUGAGAAAUUGGUACUAAUACCCAUAACAUCAUGAGAGGCAUCUUUUAUGGUUGAAAAUUCCGAUGGUUAGAGAUGGGCAUGCGUUGUA
rnacentral:rRNA from 1 species